ACGGAAGGCAGCAGUGGGGAAUAUUGCGCAAUGGAGGAAACUCUGACGCAGCAACGCCGCGUGAGUGAUGAAGUAUUUCGGUAUGUAAAGCUCUAUCAGCAGGGAAGAUAAUGACGGUACCUGACUAAGAAGCACCGGCUAAAUACGUGCCAGCAGCCGCGGUAAUACGUAUGGUGCAAGCGUUAUCCGGAUUUACUGGGUGUAAAGGGAGCGUAGGUGGUCUAGCAAGCCAGAAGUGAAAACCCGGGGCUCAACCCCGUGGAUUGCUUUUGGAACUGUUGGACUAGAGUGCAGGAGGGGUAAGUGGAAUUCCUAGUGUAGCGGUGAAAUGCGUAGAUAUUAGGAGGAACACCAGUGGCGAAGGCGGCUUACUGGACUGUAACUGACGUUGAGGCUCGAAAGCGUGGGGAGCAAACAGGAUUAGAUACCCUGGUA
rnacentral:rRNA from 1 species